UCCGGUUUGUCACCGGCAGUCCCAUUAGAGUGCUCAGCUGAAUGUAGCAACUAAUGGCAAGGGUUGCGCUCGUUGCGGGACUUAACCCAACAUCUCACGACACGAGCUGACGACAGCCAUGCAGCACCUGUGUUACGGCUCCCUUUCGGGCACUCCUGCAUCUCUGCAGGAUUCCGUACAUGUCAAGGGUAGGUAAGGUUCUUCGCGUUGCGUCGAAUUGAACCACAUGCUCCGCUGCUUGUGCGGGUCCCCGUCAAUUCCUUUGAGUUUUAGCCUUGCGGCCGUACUCCCCAGGCGGGGCACUUAGUGCGUUAGCUACGGCACGGGAGGAGUCGACACCUCCCACACCUAGCAUCCACCGUUUAGGGCGUGGACUAC
rnacentral:misc_RNA from 1 species